AGGCCAGAGACUGACCACAGUAAGUUACUGCCACGUCUCCACAGGCAAGUUAUCCACCUCAAAGAUCUCCUGUACUGGCUGGCCAGAGUGGUUGUAGGGUCUGACAACUCACCUUGUUAGGAUUGAGGAUUCUGAAGACCUGGGUGAUGGGAAGACCACCCUGAGCUGGAAUUGUGUUCCCACUGGGGGCCUGUAACUGCAGCUGGAAACUCUGAACAUGGGAGAUUUGGGCAGAGCAUAAAGGCCUCCGGUUGGGCUCAGGCAAUCCUCCAUAUCCCGUGACUCCCAAACAUUUUUGGAUAAACACCCCAAUAACUC